UGGUGCAGCAACCGCAAAGGUGAGGAAUAUUCGAACCAUCUCACACCUGGCAAGCGUGACCCCUCACCCUCCCCUUCAUGGCGUCCUCAUCCUUGUCCUUGUCGUCGGCGCCGUGCUCCUCUUGCGUGGUGGGUACACUGCCUGACUUACUGAAGCGGGCCAUGACGCAGGGCAGACACGGUGGCAUCACCGCCUAUCUCGCCACUGAGCUGCCUCACAAUCAACAGAGCUCAAAGGAUGGUUGCCAGGUGCGAACCGGCAAUGCCUGUGCCUCUGCUGAGUCGCCGGUAAUGUAUGCGGUUUUCGAAGACGCAAGAAGUUGCUGUCGAUGGACGGUUGAGCUGGCCAUGGCGAAGGCAAUAGGCGACGACGACACGGGGGACGCCUGGUGGGCCAAUCCGGAGCACCUUUCUGCCAUUGAUGCGACAGCAGCCGCCGAAGCGCUGCCGAGCGAUCCGCAUCAGCAGGAAAAGAGCCCAGCAACUCUGUGCUCAUCGCGCAUUACCGCGAUGCGCUACUACAUGAAGCCUGACACAUGGACGCAAACGCUUCUGUCACACGAAGGCGAGCCGGCAAGGGAAAGCCGCACCGCUGGCGAGGUACCUUACUCCGGCUCAGCAACCACUGGCGGGGUCACGAGUUCGGACCCCAGGGGGUGCAACAGCGACGUUCACGUACAUCACCAGGCAACGCCUUCCUUACUCAGCAUCGCAUCCUCCGUGGUGACCGCGACUGCCACGGAGGAGGCAUCUUCGUUAUCCGCAGCGUCUUCGCCUCUACAUGGUCUUCCUCUCCACCAGUUGAUAGAGCAGCAUUCCGCGCUUGUACGACGCUUGGUGCAGGUGCUGGCCCCGCAGCGGCAAACCAUCCCUCACGUUAUUCGCGAGCUGUGCACAACAAGAGUCACCUCCCCCUCGUCCGGCGUUGUCAGCCGCGUCUGCGUACUUCCGUCGACGGAUUCGUCGAAUGCGGAGCCGAUGCAGUACACUGAGCGCGACGUCGCCGCGGCUGUCGAGCAGCUCACAUCUUCCCACCCGCGCCAACCAAGGCUGCGUGAACUCAAGAGCGACGGCUACCUGCUCAUGAAUUUGGAAGGGUUUGUCGACGGCAAGACGCGGCACAAGGCGGUGAACCGUGCCUACCCAGCUCUAGCGCUGCACUGGCCUGCAUCGGCGCAGCAGAUGGACGCGAUGGAGCGCUACGUCGACCGUGAUGUCGUGCUUGACACCCGCAAGCGGCAUCCCGAGUUGAGUGGAGAGGGAUCAGAUAAGAAGCAGGGGCAGAAGCGUGACCGAUCGCGGUCGAGCACUUCGUCGAAUGCGUCAGGCGCGGAAGAAGACGGGGCGCACAAAGCAAGAGUCACUGACUGCACCAGCGCUCCGCCGUCUCCACCAUUGGGCAUGACAGCAUCGCCGAAAAGGACGGCGCAGACGUCGUCCUCUCGACGCUUCUUUCAGUCGUUGCGAGAGUAUCCACGGUCUCUGGAGCACGGUAACUUGCAUGCGUGGGCUCGCAGCACCGCAGCUCAGCAAGCGCUCGAUUGCCUGCAGGCUGCUACGACGUUGACCCAGAGCUCGGCGUCCACUGCCGAUGUGUCUUCUGAUGCAGCCACGCUCGGUCCGUUGCCAAUCACGAAGGAAGAGGACGUGGAAGUGCUGCGCUGCCAAUACGAUGCUCUCGCCGCCGCCGAAAGCGUUUUGGAGAAGCAGCUGCGCGCCUACAGCGACACAGUCCAAGAGCUGCGCGGCUGGUACCGGGGGGAGCUGUGCACGCAGCAGUUUCGCUGCGAGUUGGAGGCGUGGCUGCGCACACAAGAGGAGAGUCGAGCCGUGCUGACAGACCUGUAUGCUCAAAUGCAUGCUGUGCGUUACAGCCUACAGCGCGACCUCUCCAACUACCUGCAUCUGCACGCGCUGGGCGUGUUGUGAGGACUAUCUGACCCACAGACGCCCUUUUACACCCGCACGCGCAUGAAUGCUGACAGUUGUGCAGUCGAGCGGCGCAGCUUGAAGUGAGGAGCGCAUAAUUGUGCGUGUAUGCACGUGCGUGGAUGUGUGCGCCAGUCCGUCACACUGCUGAGCUUGUCGCCCGAACAAAACAGAUCAGCUAAAAGAGGGGCACACACACAUACGCAAGGAUGGCUGAAGGACACACAGCACGUUUGGCAAGUACGCAACAAAGCCAACCAAGUUCCACCCCAACAACAACAAAACAGCAAGGCAAAACUUCCCAUGUCCAUCGCCACGGUUUUGCCUUCUCUCUUUCGUCGAUCACCACGCUCAGCAGUGUCACGGUCGAUUUG
rnacentral:misc_RNA from 1 species